rnacentral:misc_RNA from 1 species
AUCAACAUUAGUCAAAGGUUGUCGCCCAAACUUUUAACCAAAUACUGAACAAUGGCAUACCACAAUCCUACAACAAUUAACUCAUUAUAUUCUCAUCACAAUCCUCCAAAGAGAAAACAGAGGAACCUUCAUACAUGAAGAUGUCCUUACCAGCCAUCCCAACUAUAAAGCGAAGCCCUUCAAAUAUUCUGGAUCUCGCUUUGCACGUUCUUGGAAUUUCUUGAACCAGCGAUCCAAUAUAUCCAUAGGCACCACCAGCUUACUGCCAUCCACUCCACAAAAUGACUGCAUAAAAUUGAAUAAAUUCUCGCCAACUUUCAGUGCCAACCUCUCAAUUUUCUG